CAAAACCAAAAUGGCACUUGCUCGGCGGCUUGUUGUCGGGCCGGCGGUCUUCCAACGAUUAUGCAGACAGUGUCUUAUAACGACUGCUGUGGGCACACAACGACACGACCAGUCACCUUUUUGGACAAGGAAAAUACAUACGAGCAGUAAUCACUUACAGACAUACACACAGAGUUAUGUUCAUACGAUCGGCGAUGCUCCAUUGAUUGGGGAUACGAUUGGUAAAAUCAUCGACAGAACAACAGAAAAAUAUCCAGACAAAACAGCUGUUGUUUUUUGUCAACAAGGGAUCAGAAAAACAUUUCACCAAUUUAAAGAAGAUAUUGAUAAACUUGCUGCUGGUUUCCUAGCUAUUGGGAUUGAAAGAGGAGACAGAGUAGGUAUGUGGUCUCCCAACAAAUAUGAAUGGGUGCUGACACAAUAUGCAACAGCCAGGAUAGGAGCUAUUCAAGUUAAUAUCAACCCAGCUUAUAGACCGCAAGAGUUACUUUAUGCACUUAAAAAGGUCGGAUGUAAAGCUUGGUGUCAGAUCAAAAAUUUAAAACUCAGGAUUAUUAUUUGAUGAUUGAUGAAAUAUGUCCAGAAUUGGAACAUUCCCAUGCCGGUGAAAUUAAAAGUAAAGGAACUACUGGUAAUCCUAAAGGUGUCACACUAUCUCAUCAUAAUAUCUUGAAUAAUAGUAAUAUUGUCGGUAGAACAUUAGGUUAUCAUGAACGGUAUUUAUUUGUUUUUGCAACACCAAAAGAUCUUGCAGGUGCUGACGCAUCGCCCAUAAGCAAACUUUUGCAACUGCCUGAUCUAAAGUCUUUAAUAAUGAUGGGCAAAGGACAUUUCCCUGGGGCUUACAUGUUUGAUGACAUUAUGGAGGCUGGUACACAUGAACAUAUUCUUGAAGUGAAAGAUAUACAAGAUGAACUUCAGUUUGAUGACCCUAUCAAUAUACAAUAUACAUCAAUUUGCUAUGGUUUGACGGAAACCAGUCCUGUAACAUUCCAGAGUAGUCGAUUUGAUCCAAUCGAAGUUAGAGUAUCUACAAUUGGUAAACCAAUUUCACAUACAGAGGCUAAAAUCAUAGAUCCAGAAAGUGGUCAUGUGAAUGCAGUGGAAACACCUGGUGAAUUGUGUACAAGAGGCUUUACAACUAUGUUAGGGUAUUGGGAGGAUGAAGAAAAAACUAAGGCUGCUGUAGGCAGUGAUAGAUGGUUUCAUACUGGAGAUAUUGCUGUGAUAGAUGAUACUGGCUAUUGUAGAAUUGUCAGUCGUAUAAAAGAUAUGAUAAUCAGAGGUGGUGAAAAUAUCUAUCCUGUCGAAAUUGAACAAUUUUUAUAUAAACAUCCCAAAAUUGAAGAUGUACAGGUGAUUGGUGUACCAGAUGAAAGACUUGGUGAAGAGAUAUGUGCAUGGAUUAAAUUAAAAGCAGCACAGACAGCAAAGGAACAAGAAAUUAAAGACUUUUGUCAAGGACAGAUUUCUCAUUUUAAAAUUCCCAAGUACAUCUGUUUUGUGGAGACUUUCCCGAUGACAGUCACAGGCAAAAUUAAGAAGUUCCAAAUGAGAGAAGAAUCGAUUGGCAUGCUGGGAUUGGAUGAGCAACUUUGAAGAACUUUAUAGAUCAGCUGAAUGGCAUGAAUGCCACAAAGUAACAUUUAUAUGGACAAUACAGAGUACAAAUUGCCACCAUUAGCAGUUUGGUAAUUGAAACGAUGCCACUGUUGAUCGCAAUUCUGAUAUUUCCAUCUUUUUUUCAUCAAAUAAUAAAGAAUCCAUCGUCUUCCUGAAACCUAAAUAAAGAAAGGUCGUUUUAACUUACCAGUACAUUUUUAACUACACUUUUUAAAUCAUACACUGAUUACUACUUACAAGAAUUAUUUUAAAGUUACUGCUUAACUUUGUAUUAAAAUAAUUGUUAAUUAACAUAGGUUAUUUAUAGUAAUUAACUCGUGGAAAUUUAUACGCAGGGAAUUCAAGUUUUCAUUAAUCACUUGAAGACACUACAUAACUUAUCAUGUGACGGGGCGUAUGAAAUGAAUUACUUCUGAGUUUGUAUACAUUAUUAUUGCCAGACGUGUAAGUGUACAGAUGUCAUUUCUAUUUGCCUAUUGUCCUUAAUGGCCGUUUUCUUGUAUUGUAUGUACAUUUCUCAA